GAUGAACGCUGGCGGCGUGCCUAAUACAUGCACGUCCAGCGAAGCGGGGACGGGUGAUUAACACGUGGAUAACCUCCUAUAAGCCUGGGCUACCUUCGGGAAACCGGCGAUAAACCGGGGACGUUUAGUUGGAUCCGCGCUGCAUUAGCUAGUUGGGAAGGUAACGGCUUACCAAGGCAACGGUGCAUAGCCGACCUGAGAGGGGGAUGAGCUACAUCGAAACGGAGACACGUUACCGACGCCUAGGGUAGGCAUCAGUAUGGAAUCGUCCGCAAUGGGCGAAAGCCUGACGGAGCAACGCCGCGUGAGUGAUGAAGGUCUUCGGAUCGUAAACCUCGGUUAGUAGGGAAGCGGGACCUAAUCAGAAGGCGACGGCGAACUACGUGCCAGCCGCCGCGGUAAUAC
rnacentral:rRNA from 1 species